UACGUAGGGUGCAAGCGUUAAUCGGAAUUACUGGGCGUAAAGCGUGCGCAGGCGGUUUUGUAAGUCUGACGUGAAAUCCCCCGGGCUCAACCUGGGAAUUGCGUUGGAGACUGCAAGGCUAGAAUCUGGCAGAGGGGGUAGAAUUCCACGUGUAGCAGUGAAAUGCGUAGAGAUGUGGAGGAACACCGAUGGCGAAGGCAGCCCCCUGGGUCAAGAUUGACGCUCAUGCACG
rnacentral:rRNA from 1 species